CCUUGUUGAGCAUGACGUAAGAGCGGCCGGCGUAGCCGAUCCAGCCGGCGACGUAGAGGAAGCCGAGGCCGGGGAUGGCGAACUCGCCGAGGUGCUCGAGGUUACCGUCCACGAUCAGGUGGGGCAGGCCGUCGGCGCCGCAGAGGAGGCCAGCCUCGCCGUAGUUCUUGAAGCGCUGGGACGUCUUGUCCAUGGUCGCCUUGAGAGCGAGCGCGGGGGCAGACUCGGGGUCGUACUUCUUGAGGCGCUUCUCGAGAGCCUUGAUCUCCUGCUUCUCGCGCUUGGCGAACGCCUU
rnacentral:lncRNA from 1 species